GGCCUCCUGGUGCUUAUCACAGGCUGUGUUCUUAUACUGACUGUAUAGAAAGAGGACGCAGAGUAAACCUAUCCCAUACAUGCCUCAGCCCAGACUCCGUGCCUUAUCUGUAUUAUGAAUGGGGGGACAUGG